UCCACCUGGGACAAUAUGUCUUUUAUAACCUCCUUUAGGUACCACCUUUCACAAUACAUCCCGCUUUCUGCUCUUGGGAACCGUGGUUUCUGAAGGCAGUUCUCUACUGAAGGGAUCCUCCAUCAUAUAUCCUUGACAUGCAUGUUCUUCUAAAUGAUGUUUCUGAAGCUUGGAACUUAACUGGUGACUGGCAUGGAUAUAUUUGAUGAGCCCUUACAGUCACUAAAAGAGUUGUUCUUCCAGGAGGGAAAGAUAAACGUACACCAUUCAUUAUUCAGUGGGGUUCAUCAACCUCCUUCCUAUGCAGCAUACGGAUCAACCUCAUCUGAUGCUAUUGGGCUGGAGGAAGAGAACUGAAUGAUAGCAAGAUCAAAGGAGAAUCUAACUGCUUGGCCUUCAUGAAUAAGGGAUCCGUUCAUUCACGGAGAGCCAUGCAAAUGAGCGCUUGGACUGUCCAUAUGUAAAAUGGAAAUGGUGCUACUUUCUACUGAUUGUUGGAGCAUUGUUUGUUAUUAUGUGUGUGUGUGCGCAUUUCAGGAAAAACUCUUUAAUUUUUUUCUGAUGUUCUUUCAAUAAAGCAAG